rnacentral:lncRNA from 1 species
GGGACUUUUUCACUUUACCACACUUAUUGUUCACUUGUUGUUCACAUGAAAACAUCAGAACUGUCUUCACGGGGCGGUUAAACACAACAAACCUUCUGUUUGUUCCGACAAACUGUAAACAUUAUAACAGAAUAUUAACUAAUAGCAAUCUUACUUUGCUGUGUUUUUUUUACAAACAUAAGUACAUAAAAUACAUAAAAAAAAUACCUAAAAACCUGGAAGACAUAAAAAAAUUCCCCAAAUUAUGAAUUUGUGGCCACACAUUUGUCUCUCAUAGCCACAAAUUGACAUUAAAUGAGCAUUUUGUGCUAACUUAUGCUAUAACUGACAGUUUUUAAAAAUUUAUCAGUUUUAAUAUUUUUUUUUAAUUUUAGGUGCUCCCAGGAGGGUUUCCGCUUUGAGAAGGAGAAAAGGUAAAUCUAAGUUUAAUGUAAAAGGACCAGAUAAAAGCUGUCUAUACUAGCAAAAGAAAAAGCCAAAGUAGUAUUUCUUAAAAUGAAAAUGUACUCAACCUUGUCCAGUGAGAUAAAUCCAGAUGCAUAAAUUGUCUUUUAACUUCUUGAGUUUUUGCUUUAAGGUCUGGAGUCUGUGAGCCCUGUUGAAAAACUUCAAAAACAAGGUCUUCCCAGAAUUGCUGGUCUGGACUCGAAACCUAAGCGGGUCAGACUUGCACCUCUUCUCAAAGCCAAAUUAAAACAGAAGAGCAAGGCUGCAAAAAAAGAAAAAGAGACCAAAAAGCAGGAACACCUCACUGAAUCUGCACCAGAAGUUGGUCCGUGCAGACCUGCACCAGUUUACUGCCCCUCCCCUGCAGGCUGGUAUGGUAAGCAACCAAGAUUUUAA